CAGAGAGAGGAGGAAGAGAAUCGAGAAAGUGGGAAUGUGUUACUGUUCAAAAAUUAUCAUAACUUAUGUUGGAAGUCGGUGUUUUGUUCAACCGGUACCCAAGGGCAGAUUCUGCUCGAGUUAUGAUUGUUAUUAUGCUUGUGAUAUGUGUUUUGUGUUUGUGUUUUGUUUGUUGUAUAGUGUUAAGUGUUAUGUAAUUGUGUUUUGUUUGCUGUAUUGUCCGCUUCUGUUUUGUUCUCUUUUUUCAAUUGGGGAUCGUUUAGGGGACCUUUUGUUGGCCGUCCCAAGUCUGUUGUGGGUUGCAGUGCUAAAAAGCACCUUGUAAUCUUUGACAGACCUCUAUAAAAUAGGGUAUAUUUUUGUUUAAUAAAAAAAAAUAAUAAUAAUAACUUCCUAAAUAUACACGAUGAGAUGGGGAUGGUUUUCGUAAUGGUUCCCUCUGAGCCACAUUCUCUUUUGAACAAGUGCCCUAUUAGGCUAACUAGUUUAGGCUGACCUGCUAUAGGCGCCAGACGUACCUAAAAACAUAACUAAUUAACAUUCCUCCCUCAUGUAGCAGGUAGACAAUCCUCAAUUCGUACAGAUUAUUAUUCAUACAAGAUAAUAAAAUGCAUGGCCAAUGAGCACCUAUAAGAACAGGGAACUCUAUACUAGAAGUCUAAGUAGACCGGUGUAGAGAGAUAAACCUUUUAGUGUCUCAUUAUGCUCAAACAUUCAAUUGGAUCAUAGUCAUAUCAUGACUCCUGCCAAGUGGACUCGCUCGCGCACAUGCAACAGACUCGUUGAACGGGUAAGGUUCCUUUUAUCUGUACGAAGAGAAAAUAUACACCAACCUGUAUAGCACAUACACGAUAUAGGUAUAAUAGAGUAUCAGAGUAAAUAACUUCUAAAUUAAAUUGAUUAUAAUUUUUAGCUUCUUUAAAGUUACAACUUUAAAUCCCAAAACAUUACAUAGUUUUGUUGAUUACACUCUAGACCAACUCAGUAAUAUCUAGCUAGCUUGCACCGCCCUUACUGCGAUCCCGCGCCUCGCCGACAGUAGAAAGAUCUGAAAAGCAAUAAAAUCAAUGGGGUGAUCACAACUACCGGAAGUGACACUUUACACUUACUCGAUUCAAAGAAGGCAUUAGUAGAAUGAUAAUAAUAAUAAAACCUACUAUUACCACAACAGUAAUGCACGAAAGGAAGUACAACUACUAUGCCUGAAACAUGUAUAAUAUGCCACAAUAAUUUAUUAUGUUAUUCGCCUACAUGAUUGUUGCAAUCUAUUCUUAACACCGACCAACCAUUUGGUUUGGUUCCUCUUCAUACUGAAAACCUCAUGGAUAGUCGAUGGCGAUCGACAUAUCUCCAAUCUGUAUGCAAUUGGAGUCGAGGAAAAUCGACAUCUCCAAGUACAGGAUAGCGAGUCAAGGGUGAUUCCGUUAUGGAGUUGGGAGUCGAGGUUGAUUGACAUUUUCCAAAGAGAUAUUUCCAAAAAGUCGCGACUUACAUCUUAGUUAUACCUUUAGUUCUCAUGACUUCUAGGGUGCGUUUGGUUCGCAUUAUGAAAGAUUAGUAGGAAUAAAAGAUAUCCGAAAAUCUUAUUCCUAUUCAUCCUAUUACUAAGAAUGUGGAAUUUCUAUGUUUGGUUCGCACGGUAAUAUUAAUUAGCCAUGUUAUUUAAUAUUACAAAAAAUAUACAAUUAAUUAAUUUAUUUAUUUAUUUAAUUUUAGCUAAUGUUACCAAAAGUUUCAACAUCUUUUUAAAAAAAGGGAGAGAGAGUAUAAGAUUUUCAGAGAGAGCAUAAUUAAAAAAAUAGAAAAUCGAAACUAGAGAGAGAAAAAAAAGUUGAAUUUUAGAGAGAAAAAUAAGUUUAGAGAGAAAUAUAAGGUUAGAGUGUAAAAAAAAAUAAUAUCAAUUAGCCGGUGGGUAAGAAAAAAGAAAGAGAUUAGACAUAUUAUGAUUACCUCAAUCCAUUAAUAUGAAGAUACCCACCCUCCCUCAAGGGAAUGAAAUUAGUACUUUGGAGUGAAUCUUAUUCCCAAGUGAAUCCAAUAUUACCAACUAGAUUAUUUAGUGCGUUUAGCCAAACAUCGUCAUAUUUUUUUAUUUCCAUUGGAUUAUUAGGAAUCUUUAAAAGAUAGCGUGAACCAAACACACCCCUAAGGUUAUCUAUCGAUCACUCACAUGUUCCUUUGAAUCUAGCUUAAGUUUGUCUAGAUAUUCAUGUGUCUCUAUGUUCCACAUCCUAGGUUCCAUCCUAGUUCUAAUACCAUUAUGAUGUCAUAUAUGCUUUGUCAAGAUCUUCAUGUGAUUCUAUGUUCCACAUCCUAGGUCUAAUGCCAUUAUGAUGUCAUGUAUGCUUCAAGGGUCACAAAAUACUUUAUUUAUAUAUUGCAUGUGUUCCUACAUUAACAUGGCAAAUGGGUUAAAAAAACCUAUUUCCUAGGUCAAGGCCCCUAGUCCAUAAGACCUCUCAAAUAUCAUUACAUGCGCAUAAAUCUCCUUUUAGUCUGCACUGUAUAUAUAUAUAUAUAUAUAAUUGAUCUAAAAUACUUUUAGAAACACUAAUUCCUUGGUGCUUCUAAGUUUCUAACCCUUAGAUCUACUCCUUGAUUACUAAUAGCCCUUGGAUCAAACACUAUUCCACCUACCACCAUCAUCCCAAUCUUACAUCUCUCCUUCCAAUGGCUAAAAACUUAAAAGCACCACCCUCUUGGUGCUUUUGAGAGUAUUCUAACUCAACUAUAUAUAUAUAUACUUAAAAGCUCUUGGAUCUACUCCUUGAUUACUCAACUACUCAACUAUUUUAUAUUUUUUUUCACCCUUUCUUCUUUUUUUCAUAUGCACUUUAUUAGUAAAUUCUGAUCAUCACUAUCUAUUGGUGAAAACAGAACUGGAGGUACCAAUCUUCUUAAUUUUCAAUAUCUUGCUUUUCUUGCUUCUCUUUAGCAAAUAUACAAUUUUAAAAUUAUACUUUCAUUGUUUUUUAAAUAUUUAUAAGAUAAUAACAUUUUCAAUGCAUUGUUAUUGUGUUAUAUAAUAAAUUAUUUGCCUCUAAUGCUAAGAAUUAGAAUUCCUGUACUUAAUUUCUCAUGCAACUCAAGGCCAGUAAAUAUUGUUGCAGAAACAAAUAAUGUACCCUCUAAAUAGCCCUAAUAUCUAAUAAUUUGAUAAGAAUUUAACAAACUAUAGUUCAAAAUAUUAUAGUUUAUUAUUUUAUAUGCACGUAUUAUUUUAUUAUUAUAUGAAAAAGAAUAAAUUAAAAUUAAGGUAGAGUUACAUAUUCAUUUUUAAGACAACAUCUAAGACGAAAAUAUUGAUGUAACAAUUUCCUGCAUCGGACGAUUACUUACUAGAUCUUAAACUAUACUAUGCAUCCUUAUAAAAUAUUUUUUUUGAAUCAAUAAAUUUUAUAAAAUAAUUCAGAUAUUUUAAGUUAAGAAAAAUGUUAUUCGGUAAUGUAGUUUUGAGAUCAUGUAAAUAUUGGAAACUAAAUUAAAGAAAUAAAAUCAAUUUAAAUUUUAAAUUUUAAAUUAUUUUUAUUUUAAAAUUUUAAAAGUAUAGUUAUAAUUCCAUGCAUUGCAUAAAAGCUAUAUUUAUUUUGGUUUUUCCAACUGUCUUUUCAUCUUAUUUGAGUUGUUUCUUUUCCUUUCUUAAAAAUUACAUUUACUUUAUCUUUUUUAAUGAUCCUUUGUCUUCUGUUAUAUUUACUCGGUUUUUUUUUUUUUCUCAGUUGCCCUUUGCCUUAUGUCCGUAAGAGAUGAGAUUAGAGAGAUGAGGGAAUACGGAGGGCCCAAAAUCCUACCCUAGAAGUGGUUGAACGUUUACAACUACGAGAACCCUAAGAAGAUAUGCCAUAAAGAUGAGGUUACGGUGCAUAAGAAGCAGCUCAAGCGUGAGCAAUCCUGCCACCACGGUGCCGAGUUCCGCCUCGAGUGCCUCCGCCAAGUCUGCAGCCUCGCCAUUGUCCCCUCCUCCUCUGCCACUGUCAUCGCCGCCGCCACUGUGUCGGAAGAGAUGGCGCCGCCCUUCAAUUCAGGGCACAUCAACCUCUUCGACGGUGUCCUGGACUUCGCAUUCUUUGCUGCCCAGGACGAGAGCAAAAGGCCACUGAGAGGUAAGGAAGGGGCCAAUAGGGGCUGCAAAAAUCUUAAGAGGCAGCAGACGAAGGAAAAACAAUACUAUUGAGUAAAGAAACGGUAUUGUUUUGUUAUCAGUACAAAGUAUUAUAUUUCGAAACAGUGUAUAUAAUACUGUGACUUCGUAGAUGAUUUCAUAUUGGGAUCUUUCAAAGUUGCAUUUGGCUGCGACAAGAUCGCACACUCAAAUUCAUUCAACUUUCACUAGAUAAAUAAUAAAUUUUAUUUUCUAUCUUCUUUUGGGGUGGGUAAAUAGUAAAUUUUUUUAUGUAUAUUUUGUAUUCUAUAUUGUUUUUUCUAAAAAAAAUUUCCGCCGCAUCGCGCGGAUCCCUACGCUAGUAUUCUAUAAAUACACUUUCUUCAUGAAUCCCUUGAAGAAGGAUUUCUACAUGAUCAAGAGUCAAGAUAUCUGGUCCAAGAUCUCACUCCAUCCUCGAGGCAGCUUUUCUAAAAUCAUAUAUAUCAUGACUUCUCUAUUUAUUCUAAGGAUGGUUUCUUCUCUAUUAAACCAAGUAUAUUUUUCGUUUAGAGAUUGUUAUAAAUUGUUCAUAUAUUUGAUGUGUUCAUUAAUUUACUGUGUCGGCGUUUGGUCUCAUCCAAGUAUCAAGAUUUGUCCGUAUAAAUUGGGCACGCAAUAAUUCUCCAUUUUCACUAGAAAUGCAUAUAUAUACAAAAUUAGUAAGUACUCAUUUUAUUAAUAAAAUAUUUGAAUUUUAGAAUAAAAACAAAUCUAAAUUUUAACACGACAAAAGUUAGAGCACAAAAAGUUUAUAAUUUUCAGAAGUAUAUACAAUUUUUUAUGACAUUUAGGAAAAAGAAUAAGUAAUACUAUUUUACAAACUUAUAAUAAAAGGAAAGUUUUCGGUUGGUAAGAGGGAACAAAUAAAGCCAUUGUGGUUUACUUUGGUUUCAAAUCCUACAUAUAUAAAUUUUUUUUUUGAGAGAUAAGUGGCAUACUACCCGCUUGGUUUAUUUCAUUUAGAAAUAAACUUAGCUGGAAAUGUGAAUCAAUUAGGAUUCAAACUUGGGUUUCGGGUACCAACCACGAAACCCUUUGCCGCUUGCUCUAGGGACGGUCGGUAAAUCCUACAUAUAUUACUCUUUUUUACAUAUGCGUAAACGAAAAAUAGCAAUGGGUUGGGCUAUGGGUUCCCAUGGCCCAGUUAGGCUUGUGGGCCUUCAUGCUGGGCCUAAGAUCCAUGGCCCAAUGCCAUGGAGUACAAAUCAUUGAAAAAAAUGUAGUAAUUUUUCCAAAUUAGCAAAAAUAUCGUUUUAACUUGCCAAUACUAUACCAACCGUCCCUAAAGCAAGUGGUAAAAAGCUUGGUGGUUGGUACCCGAGACCCAAGUUCGAAUCCUAGUUGAUUCACAUUUCUAGCUAAGUUUAUUUCUAAAUGAAAUAAACGAAGCGGGUAGCGUGCUAUCUAUCUCUCAAAAAAAAAAAAAAAAAAAAACUUGCCAAUAAGAUUCUCUGAAAUAAAAAAUAAUCAUCUAUAAUUCAAAAUAUCAAGAAAGAACGUUUACAAUUUAGAAAAUCAAAUUUCACCAAUCGAUGAAAGAAGAUAGGACAAUGGCAAACACUCGUCUCCGAUACCAAUAUUAGAAGGACUUACAGCGAAAGAAGCAUAGGAUUGGAUUGUCCUUCUCUUUCAGUUGCUCAACAUAUCACUGGUUGGGAUGCGCCAACUAGAGAUCACGCCACAAUUUCACCACUCAAAAGCUUCUAGAUCAUUGCGUAGGGCAAAGAGAGAGGAGAGAGAGAUUCGAGAGAGUGAGAAUGUAGGACUGAUGAAAAAUUAUCAUAACUUUCUAUUGGAUUUUAUUAGAUUUUUAUGAUUUAAAACUUGUUAAGGCCUCUUGAGAGCUCAAUAAAUGUUAAUGGGCCGCUUGGGGAGCCUAACUAAAAUUUUUAUGUGAGAUGUUUAGUCUCACAUUGGAAACCAAAAGGGUGUUUGUUGUUUUUAUAUAUUGCUUUAUUCUCAAGCUAGUUGCUCGGAAGAAAUGAGAGUUAUGCUCUCGUUUAUAUACCGGGCGGCGGCGGCGUGGUCCAUACAUCCGGUUUAUUUUACUUUGUCGGUUUUAUCUUUAUUUUAAUACUUAUUUUUUUACUAAUUCUAAUCCUUAGCUUUAUCAGUAUAAUCUUAGGCUUAUCUUGUUAUACACGGAUUUGACGCGUUGAAGCAAGAUUCUCGUCUAGGUUAUAAAUAUAGGGCGAGGUUACACGAGUUAAUAUAUAACCCGAGCAUACCUAAAGCCUCUCGUCUUUUUCUACUUUUUGGAUUUUCGCCGAGUUUUCUUUUGCUGGAUCUGAAGCUUAUUGGGUUCAUCUUGCGCCACCUUGAAAGCAUGCCGACGAAGUGGAAAGUGACCGUUGUAUCGCUAGGAGUAAUUGUCGGGAAGCCUCACACGUGGAAGGACAAUUUCGCUUCUAGGACAGUGCUCUACACGUCUCGAUCCACAGACCUUAUCUAAACUUUUUCUUUACCGUUUUGUUAUUUAAUUUCGUUUCGAAAUUUUCCUAAACCUAUAAUUAAAUUUUCGAAUUAAUUUUUAAAGAAUAUUGUAAUAAAAGAUCAGAAAGUUUUUCCAACACUUUCCACAUAUAGAGUGAGAUGGGGACAAUUUGCAUAACCGUUCUAUCUCACCCAUAUUCUCAUUAGAACAAGCUAGUGCACUAUUCGGCUAACAAGUUUGAGUCGACUAGCUCUAAGUGCCCGACUCAUGAACAUUAAUUAAUAUUAUGUUUAAGAUAUGCGAUCAAAAUGAUUAUAAAAUUAGUUAUUUUGAUUGAGAAGAAGUGUAUUGAACAAUUUGAUGAAGUUUAGGGCAAAAUUGAAUUUAAAAAGCUUAUUUGCAAAAGAGCUAAAGCUCAUAGAUGUUUUGUAUGUAUUUUCCUUUUAUCUUUUAUCAAUCCUUGUUGCAUAAUUUUCUUCUUUUGAAUUUAUUAUUUAUACGAUGUUUAGAAAGGAAUAUUAUUAGGCAAAGAAGCAUAUAAUUACAGUGUAAGAAUAUGUAAAUGAUUUUUAUAAUAAUAGAUCUAUGCAAAUUGACGAGAUUGAAUGCAAAAAUAUUAACAGUAUUUUCAUAGAUUUCUCAAAUGACACUCAACAUAAUGCUUUGAUAGAAGAUAAAGUAAAAACUAAGAUACUUGCAGGAAAUAUAAAAACUUUCGGAAAAAAAAUCUUUUGAAACUAAAAAGGAUUUUGGGCAAAAAUAACAAGGUCGCCCUCAGGCCAGCAAUCAACAAGGUCACUGCCUCAAGCUAGGCGGUGCAAUCCAGCUCGUUGUUCGCGGUUAACCAGCCUGUGUUCGGCCUUCGAAAAUGAGCUCGAUGAUCGCUCGCUUGUUUAUAAGCGACGAACACAGAGCUGGGGUUAGCUCGCUCGUGGUCGGCCUCGAUAAAGCUCAGAAUACCAUCAUAUUGUAUAUUUAUAUAAUUUAUUUAAUUUAUAUUUGUAUAAUAAAUAAAUAAUUAUAUAUAAUAUAUAUUUUUAUUAUUUUAUUUUGGCAAAAUAAAAAUAUAAAUGCGAGCUUAAUUAUAAAAAGACUCAUUUAUAUGUGCAAUUUCAACAUUCAGAUCAAAAUCUAAUAGAUAAGAUUGAUAAUUUAUUUUUUUAUAUAUUGUAUAUCUAAUCUUUUAAUUUAUUGUUCGUUGUCAGCUCGUGAGGCCAGCUGUAGUCGCUCGUUUCUAUGAGCCGAACACGAGCUGAAUUUUUCGGCUCGAUACUUUAACGAGCCAGCUCGUGUUCGGGUCGUUUAAUAAACGAGCCGAACACAAGCCGACCCCAGCUCGCUCGUGUUCGGCUCGUUUACACCCCUACCUCAAGCUAGCGAGAGCGCUUCCUGCAGGAAGACAGAUGGCAGAACCUACAAAAAAAAGGUGGCUAGUGAAAUCACUACUCCAUUGCAUGAAUUGGAAGCCAGAAAGGAGAUUUAUAAAGCUUAAGAAAGGGUGGAGGCUAUUGAAAUAACCAUAAGUUAGCAGAGGAGAUAAGAUUUUAUUGGAGACUAGUAAGGCAACAAAGAAGAGCAUACUAUUUACGAGUACAAUCUGGGAAGAUGAAGUUAGUAAAGAUCUCGUGGUAAUUUUCACUUCAAUAAGGAUGACACUCCAAGAAAUAUUGGGUUGAUCUAUCUUAACCAUAAGAACUGUGAGAAAACUAGUAUGACAAAGGAGCUUCAGAGCUAGCUAACCUAGAGUAACAUAGCAUUAAGUUUACCGAGCCUUGGGUACGACGGCAUUUAUCCCCUCUAUCAUCCCUUGUUGUACUACAAGCAAGCCCUUCUUAAUCCGGUACCACCUUCGGCUCCUACUGUCCUUCUGUGACUUGAAAAGAAGGCUAUCUCAGUCUCCAAAGAGCAAGAACAUCUUUUGAUGGUAAAUGCUACAGAUAUUUGGUGAGAGAUCAUAGGGUGGCAUCUUGUAGAGACGUGUCAAGUGAAUGUGGUGCUAUAAAAUUGGACACAAGGCUUAGGUGUGCAAGAACUUUGAGAAAGGAGCGAAAAGGACAAUGUUCAAACCAAAGUAAGUUCGGGAUUGCGUACCUUAGCACAAGAUCUUUGUCCCUUACUUUGGGGUCUACUUCUAGAGGAGGGAAAGAUCUCGGAAUGUAAUACUCACAGAUGUAUUGCUUCUUGGAAAUUUCAGCCAUUAUCUGCUCGACACAAUCUCCACUCUAACUUUCAUGUAGGAUGCUAUCAAAAGAGUGAUUUUGUUAUCUUCCUUCCAUAGUGGGUGCAGGUAGAGUCACUAAUCUGCUAGAAAAAUUUCUAUGUACACGAGUUUCGACUUGGAUGCUUUUCAUGGGAACCUCUUGAUGUGGUCACCCAGCACAAGCUCCAACUUAAGGCUUGGAUCAGAAUCGUCGGGCUCCCCUACUUCCAAGGUGGCGAUGCUAGUGAAUGGAUUUGGAUGAUUUCUUGCAAUAGGCAAAUGAGUAAGCUGAUGGAAGAUUUUAGCAGAUAUAACUGCUAUGUGGUUAUUGAAGCUUUAACGAUAUAUCAAAGAUGAUCGCAUUAACUCUGGAGAAUCUAAGACUGUUGUGUCAUGGUGCUACCAUGACCGCGAGGGGAGAAGCGUAGGAGUAGGAGAAAAUGGAGGUACCAGAGGAGACAAUAGAGGAUCCAUGGCAAGAGAAGCAAUGGCGGCGACGCGCUUGGUAAAGAAGAAGGCUAUUCGGGUUUUGGGCUCGCGCUCCCUCACUGUAGCCUCACUCAAUCCGCCUCCGAAGCCGGAGCGGUGCGAUCAAUGGGAAAGGGAAAGGGUCAGUUCGGGUGCCAGGUUCGCACCUCCUCACUGUGAUGACGGGACCUGGAUCCGCAUUUAGCUUCGGAUGCGGGUUGAACUAUGUGUGGGCCGGCCCAAGUGAGGGAUCCAGCGUGAGACAGAAUUGAACCCACUAUGGCUCAUGUAGUUUAAAUACAAUUACAUUCAUAUCCCUGUCCAUUGUAACUCUUACAAUCUGGUCCUCGUAAUUAGUAGAGUAUAAAUAGCAAGCUAACAAUGUAAUGAAUUAAGCAAAAAAUGGAAUAAAAUCCCUUUUUCCCCAAUUAUCUCUCUUCUCUUCUUCUCCUCUCGAUCCCUCUUCUUCUCCUCUACUCGAACUCCUCUCUUCUCUUCUCUCAAGCUCCUCUCUAUCCCUGGAUCCUACUUAUCUCAUCCCCAUCAAGCUGAUGACCAAUUGAAUUAGAAGGUGGAGCCAUUUCCCAUCAUCUCUAAUUCUACUCAUCCUCAGCAUCAUCCAGCUUCACAGGAGAGCAAUUGGAUCAGGUAUCCAAUUUACAUCAUCUCCCAUAGCCAUCCAAACUGAUAUGGUGGUUGCUAUAGGAUCAGUUUAUUACAAUCUGGUAUCAGAGCGGUUUCGAUCCCAGGGAUCGGUACGGCGCAGUCGCAAGGACUCCGGCUUUGCAAACUGUUGAAUCCGACGUCGACGCAGCUACCCGUGCUGCUAGGGUCGCCUCUGGGUGAUCCUGGACAAAGGGGGCCGCUGUAAGAACCUUCCCUGGUUCUUGAACUCCCAGAAUUGGCAGGGAAAUUAAACGCCCGCCAUCUGUUCGAAGUUCCCACCUGGUGCCUGCAACCUUCUUGCAGGUGGAUCCCGCCAGAGAUUGAGCAAAAUUGGGUCUGCAAAAGGUAACCGGUUCAAAUUUAUUAGCAAAACAAUGGCCGAAGGAACCCGUUUGAAGUUGCUUGAUGAACACGUUCAUGCACUGGAGCAACAAAUGCAAGAGUUAGCGGCAGGGACUGAGAGGAAAUUUGAAUCACUUACAAGUCGUAUGGAGGCGAUACGUAUGGAAGGACAAUCUCAUUAUGAUGAUUGGAAGAAGGACUCUGCAAACACCUCAAAGAAGCUUGAACAGAUUAUGGAUCUAUUGGUGAACAUACCACAGACUACAUCCAUCAGAGGAGCUACAUCUUCAAUUAGUAUAGAUGAACGAGGUAUAUUGCCAACCCCACCUAUUUCUCACACAAAGGAAGAUAAUCAUAUACAACCUACCAUAAAUCGAUCAGGGUUCCAAUUUCCAUUUCCCAAGUUAGAAUUUCCUAUAUUCAUGAAUGACAAUCCGAGAAGUUGGGUGAGAAAGUGUGAGAGAUAUUUUGAAUUCUAUAGUAUUAAGGAACAUCAGAAAAUGGAGUUAGUAGCCAUGCACUUGGAUGAUAAGGCUGAUACCUGGUUUCAAGGGUAUUUAGCAGAAAAGCGGAUGGUCCAUUGGGCAGAUUUUUUCGAAGAAAUCUGCAGGCGGUUUGAUACGAGAGGAUCGGUGGACGUCGUGGAGGAAUUUAACAAACUGGUGCAAACAGGGACAGUGGAGGAGUAUCAAGAGCAAUUUGAGGAUUUAAAGGCACGACUGCUUACUACUGAUUCUCAAUUCUCCGUGGACUAUUUCCUCUCGAGCUUCCUGAGUGGACUAAAAGAUGAGAUCAGAUCUGCUGUCAAGAUGUUAUAUCCACGAACCUUGACUCAGGCAUUCGAACAAGCCAAACUACAAGAACAGACCAUAGCAGCAAUGAUGAAAAAGAGUAAACAAAUGCUUCGAUUACAAGGGAUCACCAAUUCUCCAAGCAACUACAAGGGAAUGGGUUCGGCAACAUCUGGAAGGUACUCCGACACCGCCAGGAACCAACCCAAGUUCACUACAGAGAAAGCAUUCCCUAACCGGCAAUUAAUCGAGCAGAGAAGAGCCGCUGGUCUCUGUUUCAAAUGUGGGGAUAAGUACAGUCUUGGCCAUACCUGUAAGCCGCAAGCAAUGAAUGCCAUACAAGCAAACCCAGGGGUGACAGAAGUAUAUGAUGAGAUCAGUUUGCAGGAGAUAGAAGGAGAAAAGAGGAUUGAAGUUGAAGAAGAAGAAGAAUUGGGGUUAUCAGUUCACGCCUUGAGUGCUGAGGAUAGCCAAGAUACCAUAAAAAUACAAGGAGAGAACAAGGGUAAGACUUUAUCCAUCCUUGUGGACACUGGGAGCACUCAUAGUUUUAUUGACAUUGGGGUAGCUAAAGAGACCAAGGCUGACAUUGCAACUACUACACCACUCUUGGUAACAGUAGCUAAUGGUCAAAAGGUGUUGAGUAAGCUCAAAUGCACCAAUUAUGUCUGGGAAAUGCAAGGUGAAAAGUAUUCGGCAGACCUGCGAGUGAUACGGCUUGAAGGGUCUAGCAUGAUCUUAGGGAUUGACUGGUUGAGAGUGCAUGGUCCAGUCACCUUCGAUUAUGAAAUUAACACGGUUAUCAUUACAAAGGGUGACAAGAAAAUCCACUUAAAAGGGAUGCCUUACAAGGCAGGAUUGCGAAACAUUACAGCCAAACAGUUACAGCAUGAACUUCAAGAGGGCAGUUGCUAUGCAGUGGCACAGUGGAUACCUCCAGAGGAAGGGAAGGAGGAACACAUACCUGAGACUAUUCAAAUGGUUUUGCAAGAGUAUUGGGAUAUAUUCCAAGAGCCUCAAGGGUUGCCCCCGACUAGAAACCAGGAUCACAAAAUAACGCUGCUGCCUGAUUCUCAACCAGUUAAUAUCAGACCUUAUAGAUACACUUUUGAACAAAAGAAUGAGAUGGAGAGGCAGAUUCGAGAGAUGCUGAACACAGGAAUUAUUCAACCCAGCCAUAGCCCCUACGCCUCACCUGUUCUCUUGGUCAGGAAGAAGGACGGGACCUGGAGGUUUUGCGUCGACUAUCGGCAAUUGAAUAAGCUCACUGUGAAGGACAAAUACCCAAUUCCAAUUAUCGAAGACUUAUUAGAUGAACUGGGAAGGGCUAAAUAUUUCUCUAAGAUUGAUUUGAGGUCAAGGUAUCAUCAAAUCCGAAUGCACCCAAACAACAUAUCGAAAACAGCCUUCCGCACACAUGUCGGCCAUUAUGAGUUCAGAGUCAUGCCCUUCGGACUUACUAACGCGCUGGCCACGUUCCAAGCCAUAAUGAAUGAGAUCUUUGACCAGUUUUUGAGAAGGUUUGUUUUAGUUUUCUUUGAUGAUAUUUUGAUAUAUAGUCAGACUUUGGAGGAGCACGCGGAACACUUAAAACGAGUGUUGGGAGUGCUCAGGACUAACCAAUUAUGUGCCAAACGAUCCAAAUGUUUCUUUGGACAAAGACAGGUUGAUUAUCUAGGCUAUGUCCUCACCAGAAAAGAAGUAUCGACUGAUCCCUGCAAAAUAGAAGCAAUGCUCCAAUGGCCACUGCCCAGAUCUAUUAAGGAGUUGAGAGGGUUCUUAGGGCUUACGGGCUAUUACAGGAAGUUCGUUAAAGGAUAUGGAGUAAUCAAUAAGUCUCUCACGGAGCUCUUGAAGAAGGGUAGCUUUAAAUAGAGCGAGGAAGCCACCCUUGCAUUCGAAGGGUUAAAGAAAGCAAUGACGGAAGCCCCUGUUCUAGCCAUGCCCGACUAUUCAAAGCCCUUCGAAGUGGAAGCUGACGCUAGCGGCCAAGGAAUCGGGGCAGUUUUGGCACAAGGGGGAAGACCUAUCGCCUAUAUGAGCAAAACAAUCAGUAAGAAGAAUCUGGGACUCUCAACUUAUGAGAAAGAGUUCCUUGCUAUUUUAAUGGCGGUGACGAAAUGGCGCCAUUACCUCAGCUUAAAAGCCUUUAUUAUAAAGACGGACCAUGAAAGCCUGAAAUUUCUACUGGAACAAAAGAUUAACACCGCGAUCCAGCAGAAAGGGAUGCUCAAGCUUAUGGGCUUGGAUUAUGUCAUACAAUACAGGAAGGGAAAAGAAAAUCGAGCCGCCGACGCGCUAUCUAGGAGAGGGUUUGAGGAAGGAGUAGUACAAGCAAUCACAGGAGUUCUACCCAAUUGGGUAUCAGAAGUGAUCAAGAGCUACGAAAAGGAUGACCACUGCAAGAAGCUAACUGCCAGUCUCAUUAUACAACCCAUAGAUCAACAACCUUUCACUUAUCAGCAAGGACUUAUUAGGUACAAGGGUCGACUGUACAUUGGAGGUAAUGAGAAGUUGAAGAAAAUUUUUUUAAAAGAAAUGCAUGAUUCCCCUCUAGGAGGUCAUUCAGGAAGGCACCAUACUUAUAAGAGAAUUAAGCAGGUAUUCUAUUGGCCGAAGUUAAGAGAGGAUGUGAAGAAGUUGGUAGAAGAGUGCGAAGUCUGCAUUAAAAACAAAUCGGACAACUCUAAGUACGCUGGAUUACUUCAACCUUUACCAAUUCCGACACGGACCUGGAGUGAGAUCAGCAUGGACUUUAUAGAAGGGUUACCCAAGUCGGACGGAAAAGACUCGAUUUUGGUGGUAGUAGAUAGAUUGACUAAAUAUGGACACUUCAUUGCGUUGACUCACCCUUAUACUGCCAUAGAAGUGGCCCGAGCUUUCUUUGAUACAAUCUAUCGUCUGCAUGGGCUACCAGAGAUAAUAGUUUCAGAUCGAGAUCGGGUUUUCACAAGUCAGUUAUGGCAAGAGCUAUUUCGAUUAUUGGGUACCAAACUGCACAUGAGCACCGCUUACCAUCCCCAAACAGACGGGCAGACUGAGCGACUAAAUAGGUGUUUGGAGACCUACCUCAGGUGCCUGUGUUUCCAGCAUCCGAGGAAAUGGCAUCAGUGGCUGGCACAUGCAGAAUGGUGGUAUAAUACCAACCAUCAUACUUCCCUGGGAACAACUCCUUAUCAGGCUCUUUACGGGCAACCGCCACCCAACUACAUGACAGACAACCUAUCUAGAAGCUCAGUGGGAGUACUUCAGGAUUGGGGAAAGGAAAGAGAAAGGAUGACCCGCGAGUUCAAGGAGCAUCUACAACUGGCUCAGAACCGCAUAAAGCAGUUCGCUGACCGACGCAGGGUCGACCGCGAGUUCCAAGUUGGCGACUUUGUAUAUCUCAAAUUGCAACCCUACCGCCAGCUCACAGUCGCCAUAAGAAAGAAUGUGAAACUCACCUCAAGAUAUUACGGGCCGUUCGAAGUUUUAGAGAAAAUCGGAAUGGUCGCCUACCGCUUACGACUCCCAGAAGGGUCAAAAAUUCAUCCUGUAUUUCACGUGUCCCUUCUCAAGAGGAGUCCAACAGCGGGGAGACCUGUUUCGCCUACCGUGCCAUUGGUCGGCGAAGAGGGACAACUACUGGCGGAACCGGAGAGCAUUCUGGACCGACGGAUGGUUCGACGGGGCAACAAGGCUGCUACUCAAGUGCUCGUCAAAUGGAGCAACUUGCCGGAGGAAUCGGCGACUUAGGAGGAUUAUCAAUUCCUCAAGUCCCAGUUCCCCAGAGUUGAUCCUUGAGGACACGGAAGUUUUUGAGGGGAAGGGAUUGUCAUGGUGCUACCAUGACCGCGAGGGGAGAAGCGUAGGAGUAGGAGAAAAUGGAGGUACCAGAGGAGACAAUAGAGGAUCCAUGGCAAGAGAAGCAAUGGCGGCGACGCGCUUGGUAAAGAAGAAGGCUAUUCGGGUUUUGGGCUCGCGCUCCCUCACUGUAGCCUCACUCAAUCCGCCUCCGAAGCCAUAGCGGUGCGAUCAAUGGGAAAGGGUCGGUUCGAGUGCCGGGUUCGCACCUCCUCACUGUGACGACGGGACCCGGAUCCGCAUUUAGCUUCGGAUGCGGGUUGAACUAUGUGUGGGCCGGCCCAAGUGAGGGAUCCAGCGUGAGACAGAAUUGAACCCACUAUGGCUCAUGUAGUUUAAAUACAAUUACAUUCAUAUCCAUGUCCAUUGUAACUCUUACAAUCUGGUCCUCGUAAUUAGUAGAGUAUAAAUAGCAAGCUAACAAUGUAAUGAAUUAAGCAGAAAAUGGAAUAAAAUCCCUUUUUCCCCAAUUAUCUCCCUUCUCUUCUUCUCCUCUCGAUCCCUCUUCUUCUCCUCUACUCGAACUCCUUUCUCCUCUUCUCUCAAGCUCCUCUCUAUCCCUGGAUCCUACUCAUCUCAUCCCCAUCAAGCUGAUGACCAAUUGAAUUAGAAGGUGGAGCUAUUUCCCAUCAUCUCCAAUUCUAAUCAUCCUCAGCAUCAUCCAGCUUCACAGGAGAGCAAUUGGAUCAGGUAUCCAAUUUACAUCAUCUCCCAUAGCCAUCCAAACUGAUAUGGUGGUUGCUAUAGGAUCAGUUUAUUACAUGUUGCUUUGAUUCGAAUAAUCAGGUGGGAAAGAACUGACGACAACUUACACAACAACCCACUGCAGCAUUCGCGAAAAGGCGAGCAUCUCGAUAGCAGACAAUCAAAUCACAGCUUGAACAACAACAACAACAAAGAUGUUCAUCGACGUCGCCUAGGGCAAAAGAUGUACAGAGACGGACAACAAACCGAAGAACCCAACCAACGGUACUUGAAACUCAUUAAGGGAAGCAGUGAGUGGCUUACAAACAUCAAGACCAUAUUUGAUCCUUAGUAAGUCAUGCUUAAGGUGCCCAACACUAGGAGGAAAACAAUUACUCCAAACUUUUAUUGUCUUUUUCAAAACUAUUUGAAUCACAGUUUCUAAAGAAGGGGUCUUUCUUAGAGAGGAGGAUAUUGAGAGAAUUAGAGGAUUUCUCUUCUCACUAUAGGACGCGCUCGACCCAAAAAGGCGUCCAAAUAUUAAAUGUAAUGCACAUAAGUACAGUAGGAAAUGACAUAUCUAGAGGAAUUUAUAGAAGUAAUGGAUAGCUUACGACAUCGAAAGCCGUAUUUGACCUUUGGAAAGUCAGAUUUAAAUGCCUACCAGAAAUCUUUUGAAUCUUUUGAAUAUGUUUGGUCAAGCAAGAUAACGCUAUUUGUGGGCUACUAAAGAUCAGGCCCAAUUCAGGUAGCCCCUUAAGCACUUGGUUGGAUCAAACUGAAAGAGAUAUAAACAAACAGUAAGGACAAGUGCAGCCCCAUCCGGUUUUAAAAAUAAGUCUAAAGGACAAAAGGAAGUGGACCUACAAGAAAGCUAGGAACUAGGCCUUGAGCAGAGUCUAGACUGGGCAUGUAAUGCAAUGUUCACAACACAAGGAAACACCUUGCCAAAUUAAUUAGGAGAUGAACAAAGGGUCAUCUUACCAACAGAGUGUUGAUUCUUUAUUAAAGAUCAAAUAUGAUCGAUGUGUAGGAACCAUUCUAAUAGAGAAGAUACCCUAUUUACUGGGCCCAUUAACACUUCUUUGAUGUAAUCAAACUUGAUUUAUUGGACUGCAUAUAUACAUGCUUCUUUUCCUUCAACAACAACAUGAACCUGCUAAAAUCAAUUCUCUUGCGAGGGCAUUAUGUGCUUGGACCUUCAUCAAUAACUCAUAGAUUUUUGCUGGACCAUUGGAACCAUCCUUUUCUCUUCCGUUGUUCCAUCUUGUUAAUAAGCUUAUCCGAUUAGUUUGCUAUUUAAUCUCUUCUCCUCUUUCUGCAUCAUCAGCACAUUUAUACGCGACCAAGCGAAUUAAUUACUUUCCAGUUCUAAUCAUGUUGUUAGUUAAGCAUACACAUCGAUCGAUCACCCGUAAAAGGCGGCUUUCACUUUAGAGCCAUUGAUCUCUAUCAUCGACUUCAGCUAAUGAGAGUUGUCCUUUUUCCUCCAAAGGGGAAACAAUACUUUCAAUGAUAUGAACGUUCUCACCCGAAUUUUUGGCACAAGGAUUUAAGAUAAGUGGUUGGGGUUUCGUUUGUCCUUCUAUUUGUUUGACAAUAUUGUUCUCUCUACUAGUUACUUGCACAUCAUCACUUAAUGCAUCUAUAAGUUGAGCAACCAAACUGUCUAUCUCCUUGGGAAUCUUACUAAAUCUUACUAAACAUUUUGAGACGUGAAUGGCUUAAUUAUACUAUAUUUUUUAUUCUUCAUAUAUUAUUAUAUUAUUUUUUUUCAAAGUCACCACCCACUAUUCUUUUUCUUCAAUUCGUACGCUAUAAGCAAUAAACCUCUAAUUUUAUAUAAAAACUGUUAUAUAAAAGUGACAAAUUAUAUUUACUCAAUUCAUUUUAACAAAAUAAAAUAAAAUAAAAUACAUAAAUAAUUUAAAAAAUUAAAAAAUUCAUAAAAACUUUUAACAAGUCUAUCAUGGAGAUUUAUUUUCUAUUUUUUUUCACUAUUUAAUUAGGAUUUUUUAAUAAAGAUGUUAGAUUUUGUCUAAAAUAAUAGAUUUGUUAAUAAUAAUACAGAGAUUGAGAAGAAAAAAAUAAUUUACACUACAACAAAAACGGUGUGUAGCGAUACUUUUAAAUAUUGGUAUAUGUAAAAAAAAGUGCUGCUGGCUAAAUUAUCGACACUUUUAAAAAGCGUUGGUAUAUGUGGGGUCGCUAGGUAUAUAGUGACAGUUUAAGAAUGUCAGUAUAAUCUAAAAAAAGUGCUGCUAAUUUACCAACAUUUAUUUAAGCAUUCAGCAACCGCCGGAAUUCUGCCUUGUUGGCUGCGGUAGCGGAGGAGGAGGAGAGCGAAGAGCUCUUCGUCUAGGAUUUUAGUGGAUUGAGGGGAGAAGGAGAGAUGGUGAUCGAUUUUUCUAUUUUUCUUUUUUCCUUUUUUGUUUGUAAUAGGGCCGAAUGGGCGAGGUGGGAUGGGUUGAAUAGAGUAAUCUUUUAUAUUUGGUAAUUGGAUUGGGUUUUAUAUCUAGGCCUUGGUAUAUUUUUUUCAAAUUUUGGCAUAAAUGGAAUACUUACACAAAAGUGUUUCAAACAUAUGUCCCUAUAACGUAAUUCUGUUGUAGUGUUACUGAUAUUCAUAAGAAAUGAAAAUAGCGCAAGAUGGAAAAAUAAAAAUAAAUCUAAAAUACAAUAUAAAAAUUGAUGAAAUACAGUAAUACAUAGUGUUCUAAAAGAAUUAUAUAAUAUAAUUAUAUAAAGUAUAGUAUAAUAGAAUAUAAUUAAGGAGAUUCGAGUUAAUAUGUCAUUUUUCUGACCGCUUAAACUUUUUUAAAAAAUAUCAAUUACUAUAUAGAUUAAAUCAGAAUGAGAGAUCCUCAUUAAGUUAAUAUCAAUUACAAUAUUUUAAUAAUUAUUUCAAAUUAAUAUAUAAAAAUUUGUAUAUCAUAUUUAUUCAAAAAUUUAUAAUAUAAAAUUUAUAUUUUAAAAAGUAAAUUUAUUUAUUAUACACUAUUAGAAAAUAUCUGUCAUAUUCUAACUCAAUUUAAAUAGUUAUUACUAAUAAUAAUUAUAUAGUUUUUUUUAAAAUUUUUAUAAAAUUUAUAUAUAGUGUAGAUAUACAUAUAUAAUAUAUAUUGAAUAUUUUUUUAUAUUUUUUAAUUCUAGUGAAUUUAAAAAUUUAAAUACAUAUUUUAAAUUAAAAGUAUCAAAAUUAAAAAGUUAAUAUAAUAAUAAAAAAUUAGUACAUAGAAUAGAGAUAAUAUAUAAAUAUUUAUCUUAAUAAGAAAAGAUAUUGAAUGAUAAAAAUAUUUAAUAAAAAUAAAAUAUUAAUAAUUGGAGAAAAAAGAGGAACUAUCAUUACGUUAUUUAAUUUGUGUACAAAAAAGAUAAAUGUUGAAAUGGGUCUGUCAACAGAGCGAAAUUUAAAAUACGUGCUUUUAUAUAUAGUACAGAUAUUUUGGCACGGGAGCUAUAUUUGGAUGUCAACAGAUCGGAUUCAAAAUAGAUUUUCAAAAAUUCAAAUUCAAACCCGACUAUCAAAAUCAAAAUUCGCAUAAAUCCGAAUCUGACAAAUUCUAGAAAUCCAUAUCCAAAUCGAAUCCAACUGAAAAUUUGGAACCCAAGCCUGAACUUGAAAAUUCAAAUUAGAAAUAAUUAUUUCUCUUCACCAUAUUUCAAAUAUAUUUACAUUAAAUUUAAAAUUUUUAAACACAAAUUCAAAUAUAACAUCAAAUAUAUAUAUAUGGAGUCCGGCUACUAUACUAUCGGUAGCACGGAGGCCUCCGUGCUACCAAAUUGUUUUCGAUAAUGCGGCUUCUGAAUCGAUGAUCAACUCUGUUAAACUUGAUCUACACAAUUGAAAUUGUUUGGAAAUAAAAUUUUAUAAUUUUUCGUUAUCAUUUAUCUAUCAUACAAGUAAUCUAAACAUGAAUGACUAGAAAGAAAAAUCUCAUAAAAAAUGAUUAUAAAAGAUUUGAAUUUAUGAUCGGAGGUACUGAUCUUACUAUAAUAGUGAGAAGAAUUUUAUAUAAAAUUUUAUACAGUUAAAUUUACAAACACAUGGCAUCGGCCAUCAAAAAUAUCAAUUUGAGACUUUUUUAUCACUAGUCAAAUAAUGUCGAAAAAGAAAAGAAAUUUGGUUUCUAAAUUUUUCCAAUAGCGUAUAUCAUGUCUAACGGAGCCAAUCGUUGAUUUGGAAGCAGUAUAAUAAAAAAUAAUUUAGUAGCACGGAAGUCUUCAUGCUACUAAUAGUAUAGUAGCGUACUCUGUAAUAUCUAGGAUAUUUUGAAAUGAGGAAUUCAAAUAAAAUUGAAUUUGAAUUCAAAUUUCGAAUUUGAUAUAUAUAUAUAUAUAUAUAGUGUGUCUGGUAUGCUUAUGGAAGCACGGAGCGCUCCGUGCUUCCACUUUGUUUUCGAUGUUCGGACUUUCGAAUCGACGAUCGGCUCCGUUAGACUUGAUCUAGAGUAUUUGAAGUAUCUAGAAAAUAAAUUUUGCGAUUUUUCGAUAUCAUUUGCCUAGUGAUUGAAGUGGCUCAAAAUCAACGGUUAAAAAUAAAAAUCUUACAAAAUAUGAUGAUAUGACAUUAAAAUUUUAGAUCAAAGUUAUUGAUCUUGUUUUAUAUGGUAUAAAGAAUUUUCUAUCAAAAUUUCAUGNNNNNNNNNNNNNNNNNNNAUAUAUAUAUAUAUAUAUAUAUAUACACACACGUGGCUAUAUAUAUGUGAACCGAGAGAGAGUGUCGAUUGAUGCGAAUUUGUGACCGCAAAACAAAAAUGUGAUCUCAAAGGUCCAGUAGUGUAGGACGCACCAGUGCAGUCCGUUCAUAAAUCUAAUGGAUGGAUUUAUCGCAUUUGCGUGAAAACUGAAGAAGUGUCAAAUUGAAAAAAAAAAAUUGUAUUUUAGAAAAUUCCCCAACAUUUUAUGUUCUGAUUCGCGUCAAAUCACACGUGGCGGUGCCGUUCAGUGUUCUACGCAUGCUGUUAGGGACUUGGCAAAAAAGUUUGGAAAAUUGUGUGCUUUUCUACAAAAAUGCCAAAUAAGGCUUUUUGACUGCUAGGGAUUUUCAUUUCGUCCCCACUCUCUAACCCUAGCCUCACCCUCUUCCCUCAUCACAGCCACCUCCCCACCUCCCUACUAUUGCGCCAUGCACUGCUACCCUGCUGGACACCACCCCCGGCCGUCGAAGCAGGAUCCCCUUCUCCUUCUACCACUUUUCCUCUCUUCCUCCCUUUCUCUCUCUCCCUGUUCUGUGAGUCUGAGCAAUAGGGGGACCUGAGACCACCACCCUUGGGUUGCCCUUGAACUUCCCAACUUUCGGUCGCCUCUCCCGACGUUCCCAUGCCCUGCCGGCGCCGCCACAGCCGCUAGGAUCCACACUCGACCAGCCACAGGCAGAGAGCAACCCAGCCUCACUGAAUCGCGGCUGUCGCCAUUGCCAACUCUCGUCGUCGACUCCCCAGCAUCAGUUACCCCGCCGCUGCGAGUAUCUGCUAUCCCCGACCAUCGCCGACGCAGCCGGGCUAACCCUAGCUCCAGCCCCAUUGUGUGCAAGCCGAGCUCCUCCAGCCGCCGCUGCCGCUGCCGCUGCUCCCGGCCACAAGCUGUAACGAUAUGAAUUCUCGAAAUCCGAGAGUUGCACCUCGUCCAGAAUCGACUUAUGGUCGAUUGGAUAAGCUUUGGAAAAGCCUGGGAUGCACAAAAUUCAAGAAGUGUAUUGGAAUGGAGUCCGCGAGGGCAAAUCAUGCAAAUUGCAUUUUGGGCUGAAGUUGCUCUCAUGGACCGGUCUCUGGUUGGAGAGACUGGUCCCAUCAGCAGAGGCUGGGGUCGCUGGUGCGACCGGUCCCUAGUCAGGGAGGGACCGGUCCCCGUAGGUGAUUCCAGCGGAAAUAGCCGAAAAUCGGCUAAGUCCCGUGAGACGAGCUCUCGGGGACCGGUCUCUGGUGGGCAGAUCGGUCUCCUGGGGACCGGUCCCUCAGGGAAAGACAGGUUCCCGUACGCGUGCUGUCUGGGAGAGCUCUCGAGGACCGGUCCCUGGUCGGUGAGACCGGUCCCUCUGCGCGCAGAAUGCCCAGUGAGGGCUGUGUAAGAGGUGAAAAGUGGAGGGGCCUUAGGGGAUAUUGUUACAAAAUGAGAGGGGUUAUUAGAGAGGUGUUUCUCUCUCUCUCUCUCACUCCCUCAGCCUCUCCCUCUCUCUCUAACCGUGCAAAGGAGAGAAGAAGGAAAAGAAGAAAAGAGAGAAAGAAAAAGAGAAGAAGAAAAAGAGAAAGGGAAGGAGAAGAAGAAGAGUAUCAUGGAGAAGACCCUCUUCCUCAUCUUCAUCUUCAUCUUCCUCUCACCAUGGAGCUCUUUGAGAGGUAAGUUUCUUGGCCUCUCAUGGUAGAUCUUUGUAGAUGGGUUUUUAAACCCUAGAAAUGGUAUUAUUGGAACCCUAACAUGUUAUUAAGAAGGAUUUUCCCCAUUUCAUAGAUCGAUUUGGCGGAUUUGGUAGUAAUAGCAUCUAGGGCACCCAAAAUGGGAUUUUGUGAUUUGGGAGGGUUUGAUCUCAUUUGACCCUCUAUUAACCUAAUUGGUAGGUAACGAAACACGUUGGCGAAGUCGGUUCGGCAAUUAGACAAGCCGUUGCGAAGAUAUUGGAGAAACGGAUGCUUGGAGCUUCGUUUUCGCCUGGAAGGCCGAGGAGACGUCCAUAAAUCGUGAAAUCGGGUCCCAAGCACCGUUACGGCGAGGCGAAGACCGUUAGCACUUGAAACGGCGAAGCGGCGCGCUCUUGGGGAGCAACUGUGAGGUCGGGCCCAAACGGGUGCCGAAUGCCGCGGGAGGCCGAUUGCAAGUGUCGACAAGAAAUCGGAAAGCUAACUCAGGUAGGUUGUGCUUACCGAAGCGACUAGAUCGCCCUUUAUGUCUAAGAUGACUAAGAAUCCAUGAUGAUGCAUAUAAGUGUAAAUAAAGCAUGUGGAUGAUGCAUGUAGCUAAAGCUAAGUAAUGCAUGUUAAUAAUAUGAUGCAAAUGCUAAGUCGAUGCAUAUAAGAUGAUAUAGAAAUCAUAGAAUGCAUGGUUAGCAUUAUGAGAAUAUGCUAGGUAGAUAUGCAUGUGAUCUAGAUGAUAACUCUAUUUUGAUUAGAGUUGAUUGACAUGAGAUACUCGAUUGGACAACUAGGAUGUCAAUUAGAUCGAGUGACACCUAACCUAGUGUUAAAGAACAUAGGUUGAACAAGUGAAACUAGAGUCGAACAAGUCUAGGUGUGGCAUCGAACCUAGUGUUAGCAAACAUAGGUCGAUCUAGUAAACCUAGAAGUGGACAUCUAGGUAAAGAUGACGUGAACCUAGAGAUUGUGCCUAGGUUAUGUGACGUGAACAUAGAACCUAGAGUGUUGGAACCUAGGUUGUUGAGUAUAGUGGUACUAGCCACUAGAAUGAGUUAGGUCGACAGUAUAGGGUUGGCUAUGGACCCUUGACCUGUGGAAAGUGGAUUCCGGAAUCCCAGGACUUGUGAUGACCCUGGUAUCAAGGCUAGGGCGUGUGCGACGACUUCGCCGCCGAGGUUGAUACCGAGGGAGGAUUGGGGGCGAUCACAUGGAGAUCACUACCCGAGGCUUGAACCAUUGUCGUUUUGUUUGUGCGACGAUUUCACCGCCGGAUGGUUAAGCCGACUGAGGAUCAGACCGCCAGAGUAGACUGAAUCCAUGCUGGGUAAGUACGAUGCGGGUGCCUCCAGGUGGCUGAGUUUGACAUGUACCGUUGUUGGGUGAGGUGCGAUCCGUUCGCCGCCAGACGGUGUGUCAGGUCUCAAGCUCACGCAGGGUAAGAGCAACGUGAUCGCCGCCAGAUGGUCAAGUCCUGCGACUUGAGUCGUGCUUAGCGUGUGCGACGACUUCGCUGCUAGGAGGCUGAGACAGAGAGAGGGCGGUAGGCUGAUGAGCAGCCAGUGCGCGGACUAUCCGCAGAUGAUUGACUCGAAGCCGAGUCGGGUGGUUAGCUUCGAUAGGGUAGAGGAACCCUUAUGAGCUAGAGAUAAAGGCUUGAGCUAAGGUAAUAGAGACCUUAGAAGCCAGUGGACUCGAGUGUGAACCUAAGGUAGUAGAAACCUUAGAGUAAAGAUAUGAGCUAAGAGUAGCUAAGUAAAUGUAGAAUCUGUUGAUCUACUAGUUAUUGCAUAGAGUUGCAUGAUUUUCAUAUCGCAUAUUGUGAGGCAUGGCAUGUAUUUCAAUUGAAUAUAUAUAUCUGUUGUAUAUUAUUGAACUAACAUAUUGCAGUGUCUCCUCGGACCUAUCGGUUGAGCUUUUCCCUUAGGUGGCCGUACCCUCUGGGAACCAUGGAGCUGGUUCUUACCCCACGUUGUUUUGGGGUGUUUCAGGUUCGCACGUGUGCGGCGCGGCAGCGCGAGGCGAGGGCAUAGCUUCGUAGAUAGCACCCUACCCCGGAGACCAGAGCUAACAGUACCCCGAGUCGACAGGGCCUAGGGGUUAGAAUGGAAUGACAACAACCAACUUGUAUUAAAUGUAAUAAUAAUAUGAUUGUAUUUGGGAGUUAAGUAAAUGUAAUGUAAAAGAAGAAUAUUGUGUGAAGUGAAUGCUUGUAAUAGCAGUUAGUUUUAUGUUAUUGAUACUUCCUUAUGCAAUCUUGAUUGAUAUCAGUUCCUGGUUGGAACAUUUGUAUAUUGUUUUGAUUGUGACGCCUUGGACGUACAGGGAAAACUCUGUCCGUUCGGCGGUCUGUUAGUGGUGCCGCGACCCGGUCCAAAUUGGCGGUUGGUCGCGGGGCGUGACACAAGCCAAGGGGAGCACCAUACUCCUUUCUCCCUCCACUAUCGACCUUUGUUGGAGAGCACGCAGGUAAGCUGUCGGAAGUCAACCGGUAACAGGGUUGCUCCUUGCUUGGUAGCCUAGGGUUCAAAAGUGAGCCCUUCACUAUUUUCGGUGAUCCGAGGCUCUCUGAUCGUUUUGAAAGUAAGCACGACAAUCCUCUUGACUCGCUGAAAGUCAUGCUCACCUCUGUUGCUAUCGGCUACUCUCCAUCGCUGAGUUUCGACUCCCCCGCUCCUGAAGUCCUUUGUGUACUGAUCUUAUUGAAGCUCUGUCGUGCUCCUCGGCUGUCGUGCGCGCUUCGAACAGUGAGCACAGUGUCGGCACAUCAAGACCUGUCAAGUGGUGCCCUCGCUUCGUCCCGAAGGUGAGCGAAUUUUGGUAACGGCCCUAAACAUCGCUUAUAUGUUUAUAAAGUUGCAAUUGUUUGGUCCCUUAGGGGCCAUUUUGUAAUUAGGACAUUUUGGGCUGCAUUGGGAAGCGUGUGGUCACUAUUUGUGACCCUCUGGAUUAGUUGUCCAGGUUUUAAAGCCUUCGUUCUCUAGGAAAUAGGUUUCGACGCGUUUUCGGUGAAAUAGCCGGUAGAACACAGUUUUCGCGUCGUUGUGAGUUUCCGGCUACGUGGUUCUUUCGAAAAUCAUUGCCUAGCCUCGUUGGCUGGCCACCAUGAUCACCUCAUGUGUUCGGAGGUGAUCAGUGAGAGGCGGAGGUUUCUGGCUCCAAAGUGGACAUUUUCGGAAGCCCGAUAAUGAAUAGUCUAUCGGCGAUGAUCGAGUUGACUUAGAGACUUGUGUUUGCUAUCCAGUAACCCAAAUAGGUGUGUUUCAGGAAAGUGGAUGACUCUUGGUGUGAGUCAGUGCAUUUAGGAAAGUUUCAUGGGUCCCGAGGGCAUCCCGGUGCAUUUUCGGGAUUCCCGACGAGUUUGGGGAUCGAUUUUGAGAAACCGAUCCCUCAUGUGGUUUUGGGUUGUGAGCGAUGUCUUUUGAGACAGUAGGUUUGGUUUUUGACUUAGUGGACUUGUCGUAGGUCUGGUCAACAGCCUGCACACCGCCGGAGCUAGGUGCAGCUGCGACACAGGUGGGUAUUUCGAUCCGAAGUCGAUUUAAUGGUGCACGCUCGGUGAUUCUCCCUUUACCUUUUCCUUUUACUUCUUGUAUAUAUUUAUACUUGAGCCUUACACCACAUGACUUUGAAUCUAUCUCUACUUAGUAUACUCCUCUCUUGUUUGCCAUAACAUAAAAGUAGAGCGAUAGAGAUUGCCUAUACAUGAUUGUAUACAUCAUUGUUGACCUGAGUGGUCGGUUCUCGUAGACGUGCCAUUGUUGACCUGAGUGGUCGGUUCUUGUGCAUACCCUAUUAUUGACCUGAGUAAUCCGUUCUCUUGGACGCAUCGUUGUUGACCUGAUAUCGAAAAAUUGCAAAAUUUAUUUUCUAAAUACUUUAAAUACGCUAGAUCAAGUCUAACGGAGCCGAUCGUCUAUUCGAAAGCUCCAUUAUCGAAAAUGGCUUAGGAGCACUGAGGCCUCCGUGCUCCUAAUAGUACACAAGGCCUACUCUUUCUCUCUCUAUAUAUAUACAAAUACACACAAUUAGGCUAGGAUGCUUCUAAUAGCACCAUGUCAUUAGUGUUAUUAUGCUUUCAACCCUUGGAUGAAGGGAUGUACGUUUAUGAUGAUAGUUGUUCCCUAGAAUUAAGUGGGUAGUUGGUUGAAUAGUAUGAUAUAACGAUAGAAAACUUGAUACCACCAAGUGCUUGGUGCUAUUAGGAACACCCCAGUCGGACACAUAUAUAUAUAGAGAGAGAGUCCGACUACUAGUACUAUACUAUCGGUAGCAUGGAGGCUUCUGUGCUACUAAAUUAUUUUUGAUGAUGCAGCUUUUGAAUCGACGAUUAGAUCCAGUAAACAUGAUUUACGCUAUUGGAAGUAUUUGGAAACUAAAUUUCUUUUUUUUUUUGACAUUAUUUGGCUAGCGAUCAAAGGUUUCAAAAUUGACAAUUUUAAUGACUGAUAUGACGUGUUUGUAAAUUUAACAAAAUAAGAAAAUUUUACAAAAAGUUCUCUUCACUAUUUAGAGUAAGGCCAGUACCUACGUGCCUUUUAUUAUUAUUUUUUUUGAGAUUUUUAUUUUCAACCAUUAAUUUUUAGACUACUUGUUUGAUAGUUAAAUGAUAUAAAAAAUUAUAAAAUUUUGUUUUCAAAUACUUUCAAUAGUGUAGAUCAAGUCUAACAGAGUCGAUCGUCAAUUAGGAAUCUGCAUCAUUGAAAAUAACUUGAUAGCACAGAGGCCUCCGUAGUACCAAUAGUAUAGUAACCGUGUUGGAAAAAUCUUUCUGAUCUUUUAUUAUAAUGUUCUUUAAAAAUAAUUCAAAAGUUUAAUUCAAGUUUUAGAAAAGAUCCGAGGAAGAAAAUUGUCACGCCCUGGAUUACCACGUUUCUCCGGGCACGCCAACAGACCCGCCGUAUACAAAAGAAUUUUCUAUGUAUACGAAGUGAUAGUUGUACCUGUACCUGUAAUCAUACAAAACUACAACUAGUAGUAUAGAGCUGCUAACAGAACUGUAAACAUAUAUAAAUAAACAUCAGGUUCACUAUACAUAUAUAGUCUCCAAGAUACAGACAUCACUCGCUCUAGCGAGUACCAGCAUAAGUAUGUACAUGAACCAGAAACCCAAAACUACCUGUAGAUGGUACUCCUCUAGAAUUGCAACUAGGGAAGGGAUCUAGCUCGCAACUCCUUUUCCACGAUCAAUAUCAGCGACAGCAGUAGCCACAAAAAAAGGCUCUGCAAAAAGGGGUCAACAACUGGGUGUGAGAACUACUGCAAAAAGAAGUAGUCCUCAGUAGGUACCGCUACCGACCUCAACGGCUCACCUACUAAGUCUACAGAAAAUAUACACAAGGAUAGUAAAGGAAGCUGGAAAAAUUCUACAGCUACAUGCCACUAUACUAUCUCUAACCUCUAUUCUGUAGAUAUAGAAAUGCACUAUCUGACCCAAUCUCACUAGGGACUGUGAACGCACCCGUCCCGCCUGUCGAAGCUACACCAACUACCACCACGCUGGGUUGUUGGUGGAGAGCAAGUCCAACCAGGACACUAUGACAUCAACGCAAAAGCACAAAGCCCGACUUCAAAGUGGCACUCGUUGGCGCUACCCAACCGAGUAUGCAAGUGUGUCUCUACCGAGCUCAAUCAGGCUCUCACAAGCUAUAAUCAAAGCAACUGGGUCUAACUGGUCUAACAACCAAAACUCACGUGUGUAGGGACAUGGGGACGUAAAGAGGAAAGCACAAUCUGAUAUAAAUACAGAAAUCUGGGUCCACCGUCAACCGCGACGGCACCCGACAAUCCGAAACACACUACACACUACUUUAAAAAAAUAAACUCAGCAUCCUAGCACGAGUGUCAACUCAUCCUACACUAAUCUGGGUAUCCAUCGCAUACUAACAGCGACAAUACAAUAGAACCACAGCUUCUAAAGCUAAAUCUGUUAAUUUUCAGAAAUGACAGCGUAGCAUCUAUAUGUUUUCUCCUAAGUCAAUUCCAAGUCCAACAUGUAAAAUUAAACUAUUAGCUUAACUUCAAAUUCAGAUUUAAACACUAAUCCAUGAAUUCGAGUACUAGCAAGGAAAUACACAAAUGAUACAUGUCGACGCUAUAAAAACUUAGGAGGUAUUCCGGCAAUUUCGGUAAACUUCAAUCUACCUCGAAAAGCUCGUCCAACUACGGCAAAAAGUCGAAAGCAGAGAAAAUCAUGCGAUCGCCCGGCCUCCAACGGCACAACCGCAACACACGCACGCUCGAACGACUCUCCAAAUCGACGUCGAAAAAUCACCCAAGCUCGAGCUACGGCCUCCACCAAGCAUACUAUCAAAACUAGAGAGAGAGAGGAAAAUGAGAAAUACUCCUUCUCAGCAGGUUGAGUUGAUAAAUAUAAAGAGGGAGUAGUGGCAUACUUAUCCACCAACCCAAAAAGACUAUACUAUCCCUCACCAACUCAAACUCCUAGCUGGAGUACCGGUACCAGCCCGAUGCCGUACCGGUACUCAGCAUCAAUUAUCGCAACCCGAGAGCAUCAGUUCUGAAAAUAUACUGGGGUACCGGUAUUCCCCUGCAUGGUACCCGUACUCAAUACUGAAAACCUGCAUUUUGCAGAUUUCAAUGUCAAAACUCUACGCUCGCGUCGCACUGAGUCUGUUUUGCGUCCAUUUCGCGCCAAAACGACUCCGACUUGUCCCGACACUCUCCAGAUGUGUUGCCAAGUCUCAAAUGCUGAGAUCCACGAGCAACCCAAAAACCAGGGAUACUACAAAAAUAAAUAAUAAUAAAUACUGUAAAGAAAAUGUUUAGAUAAGGUCUGUGGAUCAAGGAGUGCAGAGCUCUAUCCUAGAAACGAAAUUGCCCCUCCACGUGCGAAGCUUCUCGGCAAUUACUUCCAGCGAUAUAACGACCACGUUCUACCCCGUUGGCACGAUUUCAAGGUGGCGCAAGACGAACCCAACAAGCUUCAGAUCGAGCAAAGAAAGCUCAGCGAAAAUCAAUGGCGAGAAAGUAAGAAAAGACGAGGUAGGGUUUAGGUAUGCUCGGGUAUUUAUUGAACUCAUACAACCUCCUCCAAUAUAUAUAACCAAGGCGAGAAUUUUGCUUCGACACGUCAAAUCCGUGUAUAACAAGAUAAGCCUAAGAUUAUACGGAGAAGGAUUAGUAUUACGAUUAAGAUAAAGAUAAAAUUGAAAAAAUAAAAAUAAAAAUAAAAUAAACCGAGUGUAUGGACUGCGCGACGCCGCCCAGCCCGGCUCGUGCCGUACGUGCGUGUGUUUAUACGAGAGAAUAACUGUCAUUUUCUUCCAAGCAACUAGCUUAAGAAAUAAAGAAAUAUAUAAAUACCCUCAACACCCAUUAGUUUCCAAUGUGGGACUAAACCUCACAUAUGAAAAUUUUAUUUGGGCUCCCAAGCAAGACCCAUUAAUUAUUGAACUCCCAAGAGGGCCUAACAAGUUUUAAAUCACAAAAAUCCAAUAAAAUCCAAUAAAUCGAACUCAUAGGUUCGAAUCGUGUAGAAAAAAAUCUAUAUUCGAAUCCAGAUCUGCCAGAUUUUUUUUUUAUAUUCGUAUCCGAAACUAUUUCUAUUUAGUAUUGAAUAAAUCCGCUCCAUUUGAGUUCGAAUUUAGAUAAAAUUUCAAAUAUCUAUACCCAUUAACAUCCCUAAGCUACACACGCAAGUAGAGUCUAGAACUUGCAAAGGUUUGCUUCAUUUACUCUCUACGGUUAGGGCUGGCAAACGAGCGAGCCGGCUCGCGUUCGACUCGUGUUCGGCUAUAUUCGGCUCGCUCGAGCUCGACUCGAAAUUAAAUGAGCCGGCUUGAACAAAAAUAAAAGGCUCGAAAUUCAUUUCAAGCGAGACUUGAGUAUUACUCGGCUCGUUCGAAUUAGGCUCGAAAAGCUCGAAGCUCGAAUAUAUAUAUAUAUAUAUAUAAUGUAUUUUAAUUAUAUAUAGCUUUAAUUUAAUUUGGGGCUUUAUUGUUGGCCCAUAAAAUAAAUCCAACAAGUAUAACCGUGCAAUUGAGCCCAACUCUAAAUUUACAUAACACACUCUCUCUUUCAGACUUUCACUGUUGCACAUAACCCUAAAACAUGAUAACAUUCAAAUUUUCAAAUCCCUAAUUUUUUUCUCCUCUCUCUCUCUCUCUCUCAGACCCUCACCCAGUCAGACAGUCACCCUAGCUCACAUUUCUUGCAAUUAUUUUGUAUUUUGAACUAUUGAACAUGUUGCAUCAAAUUAUAGGUAAUGUUCUAUAAAAAUUAAACUAUUGAUUAUAUAAUGUCGAGAAUUUCAAUCGGCUCGUUUAGAGCUCAAGCUCGGCUUGACUCGAAAUUAGGCUCGCUCGAGCUCGGCUCGAAUUAAUUUCAAGCCGAGCUUGAGCCUAGAUUUAAGCUCGAAAUUAAUUUCAAGCCGAAUUUGAGCUUACAUAAGCUCGCUCGAGCUCGGCUCGUUUCCACCCCUAUCUACGGUUGAGCCUGGUUGUCCCUAGACAAGGAUUCAACACUGCCCUAUUUGGCUAAAACCUUUCAUUAACUUUAUUUCAAUUACGUAAUUAGGCAUAUGAAAGCAUUUAUAUAGGAAUCAAAAUCUAAAAGAAAAUAUGUACAGAACUUAUCUAAACUAUAAAGUAUUUUCUAAUCGGCUACCUAAUUUUUUAAAAUUUUAAUUUUACUAUCCAACUUUUCAUUUUUUUUUUGAUUUGAGUCAAUCAACAACAAGUUGACUUGAAAAUUUAAGCUAAUUACACUUCAAUAAAAUUAUAGUGGCAAAAAUUUUAUGAAUUAUAGUAACUAAACUUAUAGAAAUAAACCAUGCAUUCAAAUUUGGAAGCCAAAGUGCUAAUGACUGAUUCAAAUCAAAUAGAUUAAACCGUUGGAUAGUAAUAUCAAAAUAUGAAAGGCUGGGUAGCCGAGUCAAAAUGGUCUAUAUAUUUUGACAAAAUCAAAAUAGGAUUGGAAAUAAACAAGAAUCGAAAACUGAAUGAUGAUAAGUUCAAUUUAUUUGGCUCAUAUGAGGAAUUGGAAUUGAAAUUAUAUCCAAAUUAACAUUCAGAAAUAUAAAUUUUAGUUAAAAUUUAAAUUCAGUGUCCAAAUUCAUAAUCUAAAUUUAAACUCAUAAUUUGAACUUAAAAUUUAAAUUUAUAAUUUAAAUUCUAGUUCAAAAUUAGAUUUAAAAUUUAGAACUAAAUUCAAAUAUCAAGCUUAUAAAAAAUUUAAUUUCUAACUUAAGAAAUUAAAAAUUAAAAUUUGAAUCUAUAAUUCAACAUUUCAAGUUUUAAUAUAAUUUAUUCUAAAUUAAUUAAAUAGAGACACUAUAACAAAAACGGUGUAUAGCGACACUUUUAAAUAUCGGUAUAGGUCAAGAAAGUACUGCUGACUAAAUUACCGAUACUUUUAAAAGUGUUGCUAUAUGCAGAGUCGCUACGUAUAUAGUGAUAUUUUAAGAGUGUCGGUAUAACCUAAAAAAAUACUGCUAAUUUACCGACACUUAUUUAAGCAUUUAAUAGCCGCCGGAAUCCUAUCUCGUCAGCUGCGGCGGCGGAGGAGGAGGAGAGCGAGGGGCUCUUGGUCUAGGGUUUCAGUGGAUUGAGCGAGAGAAGAAGAGAUGGUGAUCAAUUUUUCUUUUUUUUUUUUCUUUUCUGUUUAUAAUCGGGUCGAAUGGGCUGGAUUGGGGGGCUUGAGUAGAGUAGUCUUUUAUUUUUGAUUAGAUUAGCCUUUGUAUUUAGACCUUAAUAGAUAUUUUUUAAAAAUUUUGGCAUAAAUGUGACAUUUAUACAAAAAUGUUCCAAAUAUAUGUCGCUAUAACCUAAUUUUGUUGUAGUGAGAUUUAAUAUUUGAAUUAAAUAAUUGUUCGUGAAAUUUGAGAAUUAUUUUGGGGAGAUUCGAUUCUCUCUUGACUGAAAAUGGAAAUGUUAAUAUCUCAAAGCAAACAUCAACUAUAGGAAUGGAUUAUUCCCAUUUUCAUUCCAAACCCUAAAUACUUUAAAUCGAACAUGUCCUUAAAGUGACUUGGUAGAAAAUAAUUCACAACAACACUUAACCAUGGCGUAGGGCUAUUGUGUUCUUAGAAGUAUGGAGGCCUCUGUGCUCCUAAGUUAUUUUCAAUGAUGGAAUUUUCGAAUUGAUGAUCGGCUUUGUUAUAAGUGAUCUGGCAUAUUUUAACCAUAUAGAAAAUAAAUUUUGUGAUUUUUUGAUAUCAUUUAUCUCGCAGUUGAAAGAGUUCAGAAUCAACAAUUAAAAAUAAAAAUCUCACAAAAAAUGGUAAUAUAGCACUAAAAUUUUCGAUCAGAGAUAUUGAUUUUGCUGUAGAUAGUAUAAAAAAAUUUCUAUCAAAAUUUUAUCUGAUUUAAAUACUCACACCCUUAAAUUUGAAAAUAAUAAACAUCAACCAUUAAAAAAUUAUUGAUUUUGAACUCACUCAAUCACUAGAUAAAUUAUAUCAAAAAAUAGCAAAAUUUAUUUUUUAGAUACUUUAAAUACGCUAGCUCAAGUUCUAACGGAGAUGAUUGCCGAUUCAAAAAUUUCAUCAACGAAAACGACUUACGAGCAGGAGACCUCCGUACUUCUAAGAUCACAAUAGUUCUACUCCUUAACCGUGUAUCUAAAUAGAUAUUUGUCCAUAUUUUCUCAAGUUUUGUAGUUUAUAUUUGUUUUAUUAAUUUCGUCUGCAAAAAUUUAACAAACCUGGUAUUUCAAUUUUAAUCUAGAAGAAGAGUUGACAUUUUUUGCAAGUUGCAUGAUUCAAUGAGGGCCUACUUUUUGGCGUACCCAAAAAUGUGCGGAGCAUGCAUUCAUGACAUUGCAGUACAUAUGUUUUGAACAUACAUAAGAGAGAAUACAUCGAUACGAUUUUAACACAUUUAUUUCUUUCAUAUCUAGCCUCAAGACUUUAGUUUGGCGAAAUGAUACGCAGAUGCUGAUUAAGAGGGUGGUAAUUGGUUCGAUCCUCAUAAAAAUCGGGCUUGUAAAAUGGGGCUUUAGUAGGGAUGUGAAUGGGUAUGGAUAUCCGAAAUUUUACACGGAUCCGAAAUUUUAUCUGAUACUAAACGAAUAUUGUUAAUAAAAAUUCGACGGAUACAAAUUCGGGUUUGAAUUUUGUUUGUACUCAAUAUGAUCUCCAAACCAACCUUAACGCGAAUAGAUUUUACAUUAUAUAUAUAAUAUAUAUGAAUAUUUGAUGUUAUAUUUAUAUUUGUAACUUAAAAAUAUAGAUUUUAAUAUUACAUAUUUUUAAAAUAUGUAAAAAAAAUGAUUGUUUUAGGUUCUGGUUCAUAUUUCAAAUUUUUGAUCGAAUUUUAUUUUGAAUAUAAAAAAUUUUCAAAACCUAUCGAUUUCAGAUUCAUAUUCGAAUUUUCACUUUAUUUGUCCGAUUCGUAUUUAGAUUUUUAAAAAUUGUCUCCGAAUCCAACCCAUAGGUAUCCCUUGGGGUAAGCCCCUAGUUUCUUCUGUAAAUAGAUGUACCUGGGAGCUAUGGGAUUUAGAGCCUACGGACAAGCUUUUUUGAAGAGGCAAUUGUUUAUAUACUCCUGAAAAAUUUUCGACUUUUUGAUUUACUCCUCUUAGAAGGCUAAUAUUGAAAAUACCCUCUUUACGUUCCAACCUAUUUCUAAUAUAUCCCUAGAGUUAAAAUCUGUUAAUUAACUCUGUUAACUCUAUAAAAUUACUAUUUUGCCUUUUAAAUAUGGUGUCCACCAUCACUGACUUUCUUAUUUGCCCUUAAAGUCAUGGUCACAAAAAGUAUUUUGACUUUUGGUAUUUUCCAAUAUACCCCUCUACCGUCACCAAUAUUUCUUAUUUGCCCUUAAGUUAAGGGCAAAAUUGGCAUUUUAAAUUUUUUUAACUGUGGUAGAUGUUUUACUCACGUUUAACCCAAGUUAACUUAACAAGAGAUAACUGUAGAAGUAUUUUGCAAUAACGGUGGAACAUAUUAGGGGUAUUUUAAAAAGAAAAAAAAAUUAGUUGUAAAUCAGAUAUUUUCAAACGUAUGCAGGAUAUGUAGGCAAAUUUUUUUUUUUUUUUGAGAGAGAGAGAGAGAGAGAGAGUGUGUGUGUGUUAAUAAGUGGCUAGGGCCAAGAUAUCGUGUUAGAAUGAAAUGGGUGUAGAUACUUGGUAUUAAAUGAUAGAUUGGUUUGGCCGGGGUUAGGAUGUCCUAUCCAUGUGAAACAACAAAUUGCUCUAAAUGCUUAAACUUAUGCACAUUACAGUGGUAUGGCCCCCGUGCAAAUCUAACCCCUGAGUUUGAGACUUUUCUUUGGCACGAGAAACAUAUACGGACUUAACAUUAAUUUGUUACAGUAUAUAUAUUCAUGGGAUGGGAUGCUGCUAUACACACCGAUUAUAGUGCCAAAUACAAAUGAAAUGGGAAAAAUUUCAUUCCGAAGUCAGUCUUACCGGGGAACGCUCUCUUCAAUUCUGGUUCAGACUGCGAGCACUUUGACGAAAUUAAGAUUGUUAAACAUACUUUUAGACUGUGUUUUCGUUUUUUAUAUAGUAUGGUUUUAGAGUCAAUUCUAAAUUUCUGUUAUUCUUAAUUUGAGAUCGUAGAUUUUCCAUCUCCAAUCUCACCUUCAAUUCCGCAUGCAUUAAAUAUAUUAGUUGCGGAGGUAAAUUUUGCCUGUCUUUCUUAAUCUAAGGCAACCCUCAAUUUAAUUGCAUAUUACCGUUCAAAAAGUUACCCUCAUUAAUCAGUUUUUACAAAUGAACUCUAUUAAAAAUGUGAAGCAAUUAGUCAUUGAAUUUGAGAUCUCGAUUAUCAACCAUCAAAUCUUAGCUAACUAUACUCGGUAAAGUUUUUUUUUUUUUUUGAGAGAUAGGUAGCACACUACCUAUUUCGUUUAUUUCAUUUAGAAAUAAACUUAGCUGGAAAUAUGAAUCAACUAGGAUUCGAACUUGGGUCUCGGAUACCAACCACUAAGUCCUUUGCCACUUAUUUUACGGACGGUCGGUAUGCUCGGUAAAGUUACUUGUCCUUUUAAAGCAGUGGAGGAUAGCUUUCUUUGACACUGAAGAGAGACAAAAAAAAAAAAAAAAAAAAAAAAAAAAAAAAAAAAAAUUGUAGGAGAGAAAGAGAACACUUGCUUUAUCGCCCAAGUUCAAAUAGUAUAAAAUAAAAAUAAAAAUAAAACUAUCUCUACAUCCCAAAAAUUGUGUAUAUCUUACAUCUUACCCUUUCUAGGGUGAGAGUAAGUCCACUAGUGAAAAGCAACCCACCUUAAAAUUGAUUGGUUUAUAGGUAGCAUUUACAAGAUAAAGUAGGCAAAUUACACUUUUAGACCUCAACUAUUAGACUCAUGACAAAAAAAUUAAUUUAUUCUAAAUUCUAGUUUAAAUUUUUUAAAUUAUAGUAAUAAAGUCUCACAACUUAAUUUAAUUGAAUAAAUAUUGACAAAUUAUUGAUAUAAAAAUAGUGUGAAAGUUUUAUAGUGAUGAUGCGACAAUAACUAAAAUGCUAUCUCAUUUCUACGUAAAUGAUUUGUCAAUAUUUAACCAAGUGAAUUGGAUAGUGAGAUUUAGACACAACAACUCAAAAAAUUGGAACUAGAAAUUUUAACAAAUUGAAAUUCGAGGGCCGAGGUGUCGGGCAUCUUAUAGUUUAAGGACCAAUAGUGUAAUUUAUCCAAUAAAAUACAAUAAAAAUAAAGAGAGAGGUGUAAAGUGUUAGCUCAUCAGGCAUCUGACGCGAGUAGCUCCAAUUAUUCUUCAACCGUCUCAAUUACUCAAUGCAUUUAUUUGAUUUUAUGGGAUUUAAUCCAAAAUGGUCUUCCAUUUUAAUGCCUCUAACCACCCAACACCUCUUCUUCUCUCUCUUAGAAAAUAAUAAAUAAUAAAUAAUAAAUAAUAAAUAAUUGUAUCCCAAAAAUAGUCCAUGAUAUUUAACGGUGUCGACCAUUGAUACGAAUCAUACUUAUUAUUAAAGACAGCAUAGAAAUAAAAUGCACCAUUUAUUUCUAAGGGCGUGUUUGGCUCGACUUACAUAAUAUUAUAGAGUAUUUCGAUAUAUCGAGAUAUAUUGGAUUUCUAAAUUAAAUUACUACUGAUGCUACAUUAACGCGUUUGGUUUAAUACAAUAAUAAAAUGUUAGAUUGUAGUGUUUAUAGUAUUACUAUAUUUGGUUUAGUAUAUAAAAUUCAGUAAUCUUGACAAUAACGUAUAGUCUAUUUAAAAAUUGCCCUUAGUCAUAUUUGACAAACUUUUUUUUUACUGUUUACAAAUAAUUUUUUUUUACAAAAUUUUAUUUUAAAUAAUUUAAAUUUGUAAAAUUUUUUAUUUUUAAUUUGAAUAAAGAUUUAAAAUAUAAAAUUUUAAUUUAAAAUAUAAAUAUGAAAUUUAUAAAUUUAAAAUAUAAAAUUUAAAUAUAAAUGUCACGUCCCGAAAUCACCGCGAAAGCCCACGGGACGCUAACAGACCCAUC
rnacentral:lncRNA from 1 species